UACGGAGGGUGCAAGCGUUAUCCGGAUUCACUGGGUUUAAAGGGUGCGUAGGUGGGCAGGUAAGUCAGUGGUGAAAUCUCCGAGCUUAACUCGGAAACUGCCAUUGAUACUAUCUGUCUUGAAUAUCCUGGAGGUGAGCGGAAUAUGUCAUGUAGCGGUGAAAUGCUUAGAUAUGACAUAGAACACCAAUUGCGAAGGCAGCUCACUACGGGGUUAUUGACACUGAGGCACGAAAGCGUGGGGAUCAAACAGG
rnacentral:rRNA from 1 species